GACGAACGCUGGCGGCGUGCUUAACACAUGCAAGUCGAACGGAAAGGCCCUGCUUUUGUGGGGUGCUCGAGUGGCGAACGGGUGAGUAACACGUGAGUAACCUGCCCUUGACUUUGGGAUAACUUCAGGAAACUGGGGCUAAUACCGGAUAGGAGCUCCUGCUGCAUGGUGGGGGUUGGAAAGUUUCGGCGGUUGGGGAUGGACUCGCGGCUUAUCAGCUUGUUGGUGGGGUAGUGGCUUACCAAGGCUUUGACGGGUAGCCGGCCUGAGAGGGUGACCGGCAAAAUUGGGACUGAGAUACGGCCCAGACUCCUACGGGAGGCAGCAGUGGGGAAUAUUGCACAAUGGGCGGAAGCCUGAUGAAGCAACGCCGCGUGCGGGAUGACGGCCUUCGGGUUGUAAACCGCUUUCGCCUGUGACGAAGCGUGAGUGACGGUAAUGGGUAAAGAAGCACCGGCUAACUACGUG
rnacentral:rRNA from 1 species